rnacentral:rRNA from 1 species
CCCUACGGGGUGCAGCAGGCGCGAAACCUUUACAAUGCACGAAAGUGUGAUAAGGGAAUCCUAAGUGCUCAUGUAUAACAUGGGCUUUUGUCAAGAGUAAAUAUCUUGGAGAAUAAGUGGUGGGCAAGACUGGUGCCAGCAGCCGCGGUAACACCAGCGCCACAAGUGGGGAUCAGCAUUAUUUGGCCUAAAGCGUCCGUAGCUGGUUUAGUAAAUCUUUUGUGAAAUCGAUAAGCUCAACUUAUCGGCAUGCAGGAGACACUGCCAGACUUGAGACCGGGAGGGGUAUGGAGUAUUCUGGGGGGACCGGUAAAAUGGGAUAAUCCUCGGAAGACUACCUGUGGCGAAGGCGCCAUACCAGAACGGAUCUGACAGUGAGGGACGAAGGCUAGGGGAGCGAACCGGAUUAGAUACCCGAGUAGUCCUAGCAGUAAACGCUGUGAAUUAGGUGUUGCGUAAUCUACGUGAUUACGCAGUGUCGAAGCGAAGGCAUUAAAUUCACCGCCUGGGAAGUAUGGUCGCAAGACUGAAACUUAAAGGAAUUGGCAAGGGAGCAC